GACGAACGCUGGCGGCGUGCCUAAUACAUGCAAGUUGAGCGAUGAAGAUUGGUGCUUGCACCAAUUUGAAGAGCAGCGAACGGGUGAGUAACGCGUGGGGAAUCUGCCUUUGAGCGGGGGACAACAUUUGGAAACGAAUGCUAAUACCGCAUAACAACUUUAAACAUAAGUUUUAAGUUUGAAAGAUGCAAUUGCAUCACUCAAAGAUGAUCCCGCGUUGUAUUAGCUAGUUGGUGAGGUAAAGGCUCACCAGGGCGAUGAUACAUAGCCGACCUGAGAGGGUGAUCGGCCACAUUGGGACUGAGACACGGCCCAAACUCCUACGGGAGGCAGCAGUAGGGAAUCUUCGGCAAUAGACGAAAGUCUGACCGAGCAACGCCGCGGGAGUGAAGAAGGUUUUCGGAUCGUAAAACUCUGUUGGUAGAGAAGAACGUUGGUGAGAGUGGAAAGCUCAUCAAGUGACGGUAACUACCCAGAAAGGGACGGCUAACUACGUG
rnacentral:rRNA from 1 species